AUUGAACGCUGGCGGCAUGCCUUACACAUGCAAGUCGAACGGCAGCACGGGUGCUUGCACCUGGUGGCGAGUGGCGAACGGGUGAGUAAUACAUCGGAACAUUUCCUGUAGUGGGGGAUAGCCCGGCGAAAGCCGGAUUAAUACCGCAUACGAUCUACGGAUGAAAGCGGGGGACCUUCGGGCCUCGCGCUAUAGGGUUGGCCGAUGGCUGAUUAGCUAGUUGGUGGGGUAAAGGCCUACCAAGGCGACGAUCAGUAGCUGGUCUGAGAGGACGACCAGCCACACUGGGACUGAGACACGGCCCAGACUCCUACGGGAGGCAGCAGUGGGGAAUUUUGGACAAUGGGCGAAAGCCUGAUCCAGCAAUGCCGCGUGUGUGAAGAAGGCCUUCGGGUUGUAAAGCACUUUUGUCCGGAAAGAAAUCCUUGGCUCUAAUACAGUCGGGGGAUGACGGUACCGGAAGAAUAAGCACCGGCUAACUACGUG
rnacentral:rRNA from 1 species